rnacentral:rRNA from 1 species
ACGAACGCUGGCGGCGUGGAUAAGACAUGCAAGUCGAACGGGAGAAUUGCUAGCUUGCUAAUAAUUCUCUAGUGGCGCACGGGUGAGUAACACGUGAGUAACCUGCCUCUUAGUGGGGGAUAGCCCUGGGAAACCGGGAUUAAUACCGCAUACGAUUGAAAGAUCAAAGCAGCAAUGCGCUAGGAGAUGGGCUCGCGGCCUAUUAGUUAGUUGGUGAGGUAACGGCUCACCAAGGCGAUGACGGGUAGCCGGUCUGAGAGGAUGUCCGGCCACACUGGAACUGAGACAUGGUCCAGACACCUACGGGUGGCAGCAGUCGAGAAUCAUUCACAAUGGGGGCAACCCUGAUGGUGCGACGCCGCGUGGGGGAAUGAAGGUCUUCGGAUUGUAAACCCCUGUCAUGUGGGAGCAAAUUAAAAAGAUAGUACCACAAGAGGAAGAGACGGCUAACUCUGUGCCAGCAGCCGCGGUAAUACAGAGGUCUCAAGCGUUGUUCGGAAUCACUGGGCGUAAAGCGUGCGUAGGCUGUUUCGUAAGUCGUGUGUGAAAGGCAGGGGCUCAACCCCUGGAUUGCACAUGAUACUGCGAGACUAGAGUAAUGGAGGGGGAACCGGAAUUCUCGGUGUAGCAGUGAAAUGCGUAGAUAUCGAGAGGAACACUCGUGGCGAAGGCGGGUUCCUGGACAUUAACUGACGCUGAGGCACGAAGGCCAGGGGAGCGAAAGGGAUUAGAUACCCCUGUAGUCCUGGCAGUAAACGGUGCACGCUUGGUGUGCGGGGAAUCGACCCCCUGCGUGCCGGAGCUAACGCGUUAAGCGUGCCGCCUGGGGAGUACGGUCGCAAGAUUAAAACUCAAAGAAAUUGACGGGGACCCGCACAAGCGGUGGAGUAUGUGGCUUAAUUCGAUGCAACGCGAAGAACCUUACCUGGGCUUGACAUGUAAUGAACAACAUGUGAAAGCAUGCGACUCUUCGGAGGCGUUACACAGGUGCUGCAUGGCCGUCGUCAGCUCGUGUCGUGAGAUGUUUGGUUAAGUCCAGCAACGAGCGCAACCCCUGUUGCCAGUUACCAGCACGUCAAGGUGGGGACUCUGGCGAGACUGCCCAGAUCAACUGGGAGGAAGGUGGGGACGACGUCAGGUCAGUAUGGCCCUUAUGCCCAGGGCUGCACACGUACUACAAUGCCCAGUACAGAGGGGGCCGAAGCCGCGAGGCGGAGGAAAUCCUGAAAACUGGGCCCAGUUCGGACUGUAGGCUGCAACCCGCCUACACGAAGCCGGAAUCGCUAGUAAUGGCGCAUCAGCUACGGCGCCGUGAAUACGUUCCCGGGUCUUGUACACACCGCCCGUCACAUCAUGGAAGCCGGUCGCACCCGAAGUAUCUGAAGCCAACCGCAAGGAGGCAGGGUCCUAAGGUGAGACUGGUAACUGGGAUG